ACACAGCACUGUGCAAACACGAAAGUGGACGUAUACGGUGUGACGCCUGCCCGGUGCCGGAAGGUUAAAUGAUGGGGUUAUCUUCGGAGAAGCUCUUGAUUGAAGCCCCGGUAAACGGCGGCCGUAACAAUAACGGUCCUAAGGUAGCGAAAUUCCUUGUCGGGUAAGUUCCGACCUGCACGAAUGGUGCAACGAUCUGGGCACUGUCUCAGCCAUGAGCUCGGUGAAAUUGUAGUAUCGGUGAAGAUGCCGAUUACCCGCAGCGGGACGAAAAGACCCCGUGAACCUUUACUAUAGCUUCACACGGGACUUUGACCUUAUUUGUGUAGGAUAGCUGGGAGGCUUUGAAGCAGUGGCGCUAGCCAUUGUGGAGCCGUCCUUGAAAUACCAGCCUGGUAAUGUUGAGGUUCUAACUCAGGUCCCUGAUCGGGAUCGAGGACAGUGUGUGGUGGGUAGUUUGACUGGGGCGGUCUCCUCCCAAAG
rnacentral:rRNA from 1 species